GAUGAACGCUGGCGGCGUGCCUAAUACAUGCAAGUCGAGCGAACGGACGAGAAGCUUGCUUCUCUGAUGUUAGCGGCGGACGGGUGAGUAACACGUGGAUAACCUACCUAUAAGACUGGGAUAACUUCGGGAAACCGGAGCUAAUACCGGAUAAUAUUUUGAACCGCAUGGUUCAAAAGUGAAAGACGGUCUUGCUGUCACUUAUAGAUGGAUCCGCGCUGCAUUAGCUAGUUGGUAAGGUAACGGCUUACCAAGGCAACGAUGCAUAGCCGACCUGAGAGGGUGAUCGGCCACACUGGAACUGAGACACGGUCCAGACUCCUACGGGAGGCAGCAGUAGGGAAUCUUCCGCAAUGGGCGAAAGCCUGACGGAGCAACGCCGCGUGAGUGAUGAAGGUCUUCGGAUCGUAAAACUCUGUUAUUAGGGAAGAACAUAUGUGUAAGUAACUGUGCACAUCUUGACGGUACCUAAUCAGAAAGCCACGGCUAACUACGUGCCAGCAGCCGCGGUAAUACGUAGGUGGCAAGCGUUAUCCGGAAUUAUUGGGCGUAAAGCGCGCGUAGGCGGUUUUUUAAGUCUGAUGUGAAAGCCCACGGCUCAACCGUGGAGGGUCAUUGGAAACUGGAAAACUUGAGUGCAGAAGAGGAAAGUGGAAUUCCAUGUGUAGCGGUGAAAUGCGCAGAGAUAUGGAGGAACACCAGUGGCGAAGGCGACUUUCUGGUCUGUAACUGACGCUGAUGUGCGAAAGCGUGGGGAUCGAACAGGAUUAGAUACCCUGGUAGUCCACGCCGUAAACGAUGAGUGCUAAGUGUUAGGGGGUUUCCGCCCCUUAGUGCUGCAGCUAACGCAUUAAGCACUCCGCCUGGGGAGUACGACCGCAAGGUUGAAACUCAAAGGAAUUGACGGGGACCCGCACAAGCGGUGGAGCAUGUGGUUUAAUUCGAAGCAACGCGAAGAACCUUACCAAAUCUUGACAUCCUUUGACAACUCUAGAGAUAGAGCCUUCCCCUUCGGGGGACAAAGUGACAGGUGGUGCAUGGUUGUCGUCAGCUCGUGUCGUGAGAUGUUGGGUUAAGUCCCGCAACGAGCGCAACCCUUAAGCUUAGUUGCCAUCAUUAAGUUGGGCACUCUAAGUUGACUGCCGGUGACAAACCGGAGGAAGGUGGGGAUGACGUCAAAUCAUCAUGCCCCUUAUGAUUUGGGCUACACACGUGCUACAAUGGACAAUACAAAGGGCAGCGAGACCGCGAGGUCAAGCAAAUCCCAUAAAGUUGUUCUCAGUUCGGAUUGUAGUCUGCAACUCGACUACAUGAAGCUGGAAUCGCUAGUAAUCGUAGAUCAGCAUGCUACGGUGAAUACGUUCCCGGGUCU
rnacentral:rRNA from 1 species